GGAAGAUACAGGAAACAUGAGGCAAACAAAUCCUAGCUUAGAGACGACAGAAAAAAGAACUGCUUUGUUUAUUAACUCUAAGUAUCUUAUCACUUGAUAUUCUUGCUCUAUUUCUGAGGAAGACAGAAAAAAAGUGUUAAAUUUUCCUUCACUUUCCAUGGGGAAGGGAGUUGCAGUUGACUUUUAACUCCAGAUUUUACUUUCUGCCAGUACUGCUGCAGAAAAUAAAAGCUACUUAAACAUAAUGUCAAAGGACAUAUGCUAGUUUAUUUUGCUGCCAUCUCUGUGGCUUUCAUCCAAGGUCACUCUUAUUAUGGGAAGCCUGAGCCCAAGAUUUAUUCUGCUGCAGGAGAUUGCCUAACAGGACACUGACAGAAUUUCCGAAGCUGUAUGAAAGCAUUGGAAAGCAUUUUGUCCUUUCCUGGAUGGUUUCUGUUUCACAAAGUAUUAUUAUUAUUUUCUUGUUACCAUUUUCUUACUGUUUAUUAUAAUAUCUUUUUGGUUGAAGACAAAUAGGGGGGACAAAAUAACCAGCUGUAGAUAUAAUCUUUGAAGACUCAAAUUGGUAUCUGCUAGUGUAUGUAGCUCUAAUGGGGACAUAAGAAGAAAAGAAAGGGAAAAACAAAAAAGACACACCACCUGAUUUCAGGCACUGAAUUUAGGAAGCUUAUCUUGUUAGGCUUCUGUAGUAGAGGAGGCAAGGGCCAGAGGUGUGCUUCUAAGCCAUUGGCUGCUCUAAAUCACCCUCUGGGAAAACCUACUUUCUUUUGUUGUAAGGAAAGCUCAGGGGAAUGAACCAUCCAGGUCGGGUGGGUAAGUGUGCUAACAUGAAUACACCUCAGGUGGUUUUAUUUGGAGAAGAGAAACAGCAGGAUUAUAACCAUCUGAUUAGGGAAAAGAAAGCCUCCACUUUUUGUUUGCUGAUUGUGUGCAAGUGUGCAGUCAGUUUUGCUGACGUUCAUACAUGAGAGAUUCUGAAACAUGGGAGUAAUUUGAUGCAUACGCUUUGCUUGCUACAGUAAAUUACAGCCUUUCCUUGCCCAGGAGCUGAGCUAUAGUUUUUCUUCUGUUUCACAGUGUGAUACGUUGCCUUAAUUGCACCAUCUAUUGUGACAUUUUUGAUGCUUUUCAUUUUUGUCUUUCAUUGUGGGUGCUCCAACACGAGUAAAUGACACUACAGCAUUCAGAAAGCUUGUCAGGCUGCGUUCAGGUCAGCACUUCGUCAGUGACUGCUGUGAAAAAUAGUCAAUGAACAUCAAAGUUGUAGGACCUUGAAAAGGCAGUCAGGAGGAGCAGCCUGGAAAUCUGCAGAACAGAAGCACCUAAAGAAAGCAGAUUUCAUAUUGAUUAGUCUCUUCCUUAAGUAUAGUGGACCCACCACAGGGAUGAAUGUCAUCUUUACAGAGGAAGAAAAAUAACAGGAAGAAUUACAUCGUGCGGCAGUUUUUCAUUGCGGUGAAUUUAAGAGUGAGGCACAACAUGUGUUUUACUGGGCCUCCACCUCUUGCUUGGAUCCUUCUAGGUGGCUGUCAGGCAGACACCGAGCCAAGCUGAUGGCUUUCUGCUUGCAGAGGGAACAGCUCACAGGUAGCCUUACAGAUUCAGCAGGUAAGUGAGUUCAAGCUCACCACAUGUGAAAAAUAAACAAGGACAUUCUUUCCCAUGAUGGCAUCCUUUUUGUAGCAAAAGGAGUUGUGGAGGAGGGGAAAUGGCUGAUGAGCCAAUAGAUGUCAUUUCUCUGUGGUUAGGCUGAUUAUUUUUCUGUCCCAUGGAUAGCAAGCCAACAGCAGUUGCAUGAUGUAUAUUGCAUCCAAGGGAUAAAGUAGGCCUACUAGCUGAACUAGGACAAAAGAUAUCCUUUGGGCAGAUCUAGUAGCCAGUACCACAGUGAGUUUCUACUACACACUCUGUUCCCUGGAUUUACUGCUCACUGAAUGGAAAUGUAGAAAUGAGCAGAUUAGCUUCCUCUCUGGAAAGAAAGAGAGGCACUUUAGAAAGCAAGGUAGAUAUUUCAGAUUAUUUGCAGGCACAGCCAAGGAAUCAGGAACACUAAGUAAGUGACCAUGUGCAAAAGGAUUAUUCCAAUGCAAUGUCCUAGGGUAAAGGCAAAGCAAAGCUACUUGAGCUUAGAUGCAGGCUCCCACAGAAGGGCUGUUUUCUACUGUAGGAAUGAGUCACAGCAGCUGAAUAAUAAAGACUGUCCUAAAAGACAGCCUCAGACAUCAAGCUCCUGCUUAUUACACCUCAGAACAGCAGCUCACUGGGCUUUGUAAGAGCAUCAUUCUCCUAUCUCACAAAGCAGGGAGAUCACAAAAACUCCCCCUUUACCUUACAGGACAUAGUGCUGGAGACUGUGGGUCCAGCCUCAGCUCAGGGAAAGAUGUUUCCUAUAUCCCAUCUGACUCUGCCAAGCAUUUGGUCACUAAAGUGAUCUGUGAGAGCAUCUCCUUUCCUCAUUGCUGGCAAGAGCUUUUGCAAGUGGAGUUCCUCUAAGAGAGUUUAUUUUGAUGAAGUUGGAGUGUAUGUUUAUGUUUUUCUUUGGCAGAAACUACAUGUAGAUGUCCUGGGGUUUCAAGAUAACUGAAAUUGCCUUUUUAAUAGCUAGACUAUUUGCUCAACGUCCGCAUUGCUGUUUUGCUUUCAUCUGGGAUAGAGUUAAAUUUCUUCCUAGUAGCUGGUGUGGUGCUGUGUUUUGGAUUCAGAAUGAGAAUAGUGUUGAUCACGCAUCAAUAUUUCAGUUGUUGCUGAGCAGUGUUUACACUAAUUCAAGGACUUUUCUAUUUUUUGCACUGCUCUGUCAGCAAGAGGGCUGGGAAUGGGCACAAGAAGCUGGGAGGGGACAGAACCAGGACAGCCAUUCUAAACUGGCCAAAGGGAUAUUCCAUACCAGAUGGUGUCGUGCUGAACAACAAAACGGGAAGGAGUUGGCUGGGGGUUGGCCACUGGUCAGAGUUUGGGCUGGGCAUCAGGUAGUGGGUGGUGGACAACUGGGAUAUGCGUCACUUGCUUUGUUUAUAGUUUUAUCGUCAUUACUAUUUCCUCUUCUUUUCCUGUCCUAUUAUACUAUCUUUAUCUCACACGGCGAGGUGUACUGGUUCCUGCUACUUCUGGAAGCAAGGUUACCCAGUAAAGCUGAUACCGUUCUGCCAGUUCUCUCAUAGCUGCAAGAUUGUCUACCAUGCUUUGAACUCAGGAAAUCUUGUUUUUGAAACAUGCAACUCAGCAGUCAUGGAAGAGAGAAAGCUGUGGAAGAGGAAUAGAGGAGGGCUGCCCACCUCCUCCUUCAGAUGGGAAAGUCCUCACAGUUGUUUUCCCGCCAACCACGUCUGAACAUUGGAAUCUGCCCCAAGUUUCUGCGUGAGUUGAUGAGAAGAUGUGCUUUGGGCUGAUGCUAAUAAUUUUGAUUUCUGGGACUGGAAAUAAAGACAAAAAGGCACCUUAAUUCUAUCCACUAAAUCUUCUCAGAGGAAUUCUCUUGGCCUCUUCUGUUACAAGCAUCAUCCUUUGGUUUUCUCUUCAAAACUAUUUUAUGUACUGGGAGUCGUCAUCCCGGGAGGCAUGAACAAGAAUCUGGUGACAGGAGCAUCAUGAAGUUCAAGACUUCAAAUGUGAAGUCCUGCACCCUGUAAAUAGUGACACCAUGCAACAGUACAAACUGGGGACAGGCUGACUAGAAACUAGCUUUACAUAAGAGGACCUAGAGGUCCUGAUGGACAUCGAGCUGAAUGUGAGUCAAGAAUGUGCCACUGCGUGAAUGAGAGCCAAGCACAAAAGACACUGGGCUGCAUUAGUAACAGCAGAGGCAGUGGGUUGAGAUAGCCAGCAGAGGUGAAUAUUGCACCCCUCUGAGGAGAAGAAAAUCCCCCAGGCAAGCAGAGAGCAAGAUUGACAUUUCUCAUUAUUUCUGUACUCCAGGUAAUAUAUAUAAACUUUUUUUUUUUUUUUCCCUGGGAGCCCUUCAAACCAAGCAAAUGAAGACAUUUCUUCUGUACAGUCAACGACACUCCAAAAGGUCUGAUCUGCUCUCUGAAAUUUCCCCUGAUUUUGCUGUGGCCCUCAGGCUGUAACUCAGUGAUCUCAGGCACACAACGUGGCUAUCCCAAAAUCUCAAGUUUUGCUUUGACCAAGUAUUUACCAUAACGAAUAGAAACUAUUCCUUGAACAACAACGUCUUUUACCACUUGCAAAUCUCCAUCUAAUCUGACUGUCCUUAUCUAUAAGCGGAGAGAAUGAAAAGCAGGGAUAUAAAACCCAAAGGUUAAGUACAUAUUUUUUGCAACUGUUUAAUGUUCAGCAUUCUCAUGUUGUGAAGAACAUGCAAAGUUUCUGCAUUCUUUCUAUUGGGUGCAUUCGUUACCAAAGCAGACUUGCUAUCGGUUUGGGAUGUAAACUGACCUGGUGUCACUGCAAUUUGCCUGUUUUCAUGUGUGUGUUUGGUUUGCUUUUGGCAUACAGGCACUUACGACUGAUCCAAAGUCAUUCAAAAGCUCAGCAGAUGCUUCUGUGAAUCUCUUCUAUGUUUAGAAAUGGAAAUGAAGCACGAAACCAGGUGCUUUCUGUGCUGUCCUGAAUUAUGGAUUUUAUCCUUCAUGUUAUAACACAGUUUACUUGUCUUCUGGUUUAUCAUUUUUGAAGAAGGUAUGAGGUAAAAUACCAAGAUCUCCCUGACAGAGUCUUGUAGGACUCCAGGAACUGCUGUCUUCUGUACGGGUCCUCUCCAAUUCAACAGCACCCUUUCAGCUGACAUCAAAAGGGGUGAGUGAGGGCUGUGUGGAGUACAAGGAGCCAACACUGCUAAUAAGACAGAAAUUUGCCACUGAUUUUGUGAAAUUCUCUGUACUGGAUUAUACAGGAGAUCAGAAAAGAAGAUUUUCAGAGUCUCUUCCUCUAACUCUUGCAACUUACUCUUGGGAACUGGUAUUAUCAGGCAAGUAUGGACUGGAUGAUCUCCAGAGGUCCCUUCCAACCACUGCGAUUCUGUGAUUCUGAUUCUAAUCUCACAAAGAACAUGGGACUAAUAUUUCUAAGUUUAAGAAUCAGAGGGUUUUUUCAAACCAUUUUAGGAGGAGGCAAGAAACACUUUGGUUUAGCUUUCUGGUCUGAAAAUAUCAAUAGUUUGUUGCAUUUUUGAAAAGAGCCACAGGAAUCAUAGAUCAAAGAACCAUAGAACGGCUUGAGUUGGAAGAGACCACAAAGCCCAUGCAGCCCCAACCCUCUGCCAUGGGCAGGGCUGCUCCCCAGCAGCUCAGGCUGCCCAGGACCCCAUCCAACCUGGCCCUGAGUGCCUCCAGGGAUGGGGCACCCACAGCUUCUCUGGGCAGCUGUGCCAGGGCCUCACCUCUCUCUGAGUAAAAAUUUUCUGCCUAACAUCUAACCCAAAUCUCCCCACUUUUAGUUUAAAGCCAUUUUCCCUUGUCCUAUCACUAUUAGACUGUGUGAAAUGUUGGUUCUCCUCCUGUUUAUAAACUCCUCUCAAGUACUGGAAGGCCACAGAGAGGUGUCCCCGGAGCCUUCUCUUCUCCAGGCUGAACAAGCCCAGCUCCCUCAGCCUUUCUUCACAGGAGAGGUGCUCCAGCCCUCUGAGCAUCUUCGUGGCCCUCAUCUGGACAUCCUCCAACAGCUCCACAUCUUUCUUGUGCUGGAGGCCCCAGGUCUGAAUGCAGUACUGGGCCUCAUGAAGGCAGAGCAGAGGGGAAUAAUCACCUUCCUCUCCCUGCUGGCCACCCCUCUGUUGAUGCUGACCAGGAUACUGUUGGCCUUCUGGGUUGCAAGAGCACACUGAUGGCUCAUGUCAAGCCUUUUAUCUAUCAGAGACCGCAGGUCCUCCUCCGCGGGGCUGCCCUCAAUGAGUUCUUCUCCCAGACUGUACACGUAUCAGGAAUUACCCUGACCUGAGUGCAACACCUUGGUCAAGCCAUUGCUCUCAUGGCUACAGGUCUGUUGUUUGGACACAAUAAUGUACAGAUGGGCUUUGCAUUUAUCAAGAAUAAUCACCAGCUGAGAUGCUGAGUGGAGGAAAACUAUUAUCGUCGUGACUGAACAGAGUCUGGCAGCAUUCUUUGUUGUUUGUGGCUUAUUCUUGAAAUUAGAUUUCAGAGACUAAACUGACCUCUCUGUAAGCUGAGCUCAGAAGAUGAAGGCCAAUAAUGGGAGAAGGAGCACAUCUCAAGGCAAAAGGUUUAACCGUCUGCCUCUUGGUAACCUGCAGGAAAUCCACCAACCAUCAUUUCAUUUGCAGCGAUUAAAGGUGAACAAUAUAGCUCUGUGUAGGAUUUCUUGUAUUUGAGACACAUUUAGUUAAUUAUUACCUCUUCAUUUAUUUUCUACUCUAGAAUAAGUCUCGCUGUGGGAAGCAGGGUGUAGGAAACACGAGGUGGUGCUUUUCAGCGACAAACCUUCAACUAUGGCAUUGUUUUUCAUACUUGCAAUAUUCAGCCACAGUAUCCACAAGGGAGGUACCACAAUUGCAAAAUGCUAUUUAAAAUAAUGGCGUGUUUUAGAAGAGCUUCCAAUGUCUCUCAUAAUAUUUGCAGAUAAUCUCAGUUUGCCAAUCUGUCAAGUAAUUAUUCUCCAUCUGUGAUAUCCAGUGAUAACCAGUUAGACUUUCAAAUUCAUUUUUACCAACAUUGGUGAGCUCAUCACUCGCCUGUUGAAAGAACAGAACACAAACAUUAAAAAAGUGCAAAGGCAAUGUAUUUAUUAUUGUAGCAUGCAGUCAAACCUGCAUAAUAACUACUAAUUAAAGUGUUAAGGCCUUAAUUUUAGAAAGACAGAGAGGCUUUCUGCUUUUGUACAGUACCAUACACACAUCAUUUUUAUGCUUUGCUUUCUGUGAUUAGUGACCAAGGCCUGGCAUGAGACAAUUUUACUUAAUCAGCUGUAUGCAUUAAAUACCAGCAGCUGCAAUUAGACAUUCUUUUGUAUCACAUACUACGCCUCACGCUGCUAUUUGCUCCUGACCUUGGCAGGCACUUCUGCUGUGUUUGGAGAGGAGCACAGUGAAAUUCAGAAUUCUUUUUUUCACAGCCUGGAUGUUGGCAGAUGUGCACACACAUUCUUGCCCCACAGACCAAACAGAGCAACUUCAGAAGUGCAGCAGGAGUUCCUUUAAAACAGACUGGGAAGGAAAGGUGGGAAUGAACGAAACCUCUACCCCGUGCCUUAACACUUUUGAGUACGAUGUUGGUUUGCAAUGCUUACGUAUCACUUUGGACAUUACACAUUGGCACUGAGUACCUAAAACAAGAGACUUGAGCUUUCCAUUUGCUUUGCACAUCUGUUUUGUCGGGUCCUGUGCUCGUAGCAUUUUUUCCCAGCUGCAGUAUCACAACUGGACACUAGAGAGCUCCUUUUACCAAAGACAUCUCUCCAACGUGAGGGCAGAGCCCUGUGAGGUUUUGCAGAGAAACACUCAUUAUUCUUGCAACAGAAUCUAGGGAAGCUCUGUCUCAGCAUACAUGACCUCUACUGUACAAAGAAAAAGGUUGCGUUGUGCCUGAGGAACAAAGCUCUGGAAUUAAGUCUAUAACAGCUAAGAUAUGCUGGGCCACGGAGCAUCUUUGCAAGUCUCUAAACAGCCCACAGGAAAAUCUCAGAAGGACCCUCAGAUUCUCAGGAGUGCAGAUGACUACUGAAGAAGCAAGGACCUCUAAGGAGGGUCCACUUCAGCCCACCUCCAGUCUGAGGGUCAUUUAGACAUAUGGAACAACGCAGAGAGAAAAGGGAGCACUGAAAAGCUGCUCCAGUAAUUCCCAGCUGCCUCUUCCCCACUCUACUUCCUCCUGAUGCUGCCCUUUUCAGUUGGCCACUGAACUGGGGUUUCAAAUUAUUUCUCUCGAGAAGCUGUACAGAGUUUUAUUGCUUUGAUUCUAACUGAUCUAUUGGCUGCCUGCGCAUUUCUCAGCCACUUUCUGAAAACAGCAGCUGGUACAGAUGAUGUUUGCAGGUGAAAAGUGGAGCUGCCUAAUAGCUUUCCAGCUGAUAUAGCACCAGCACUGGAUUAGGUCAUUGUAAUGGCAGCUGAAAACUUUGCUUUAACACAGCUUGAGCAGCUCGGUACACCUUGGUUUAGUGAGAAGAAGCAGUGUCCAGCGUGGCUGGUUGAGGUACUGCUGUAUCUCAAGUGUUUGUCCAACACGAGCACCAGAAAGUUGAGCACAGUGAAAUAAAACCAGAUCUGCUUGCGAAAACAAAAUGGAAAAAAGUCACCUGAAAGAAAAAUCCAUAUUCCUUUCUCAGUAGCUUUUAUGAAAACUUUUUCCUUCCUCAAAUUACAGUGACUCCAUGUGGCUUACUCCACAAUGCAGAUUUUAAUAUAUUUUUACUAAAAUUUAUUCCAGCUGUUGCUAAUCAUAGAGAUAUGAAUAAUAUUAUUAUACAGAGAAAAAUCUUGACUAGACUUGGUGCAGAUUUAUUCAUUUGUAAUUUUUCCAUCUUAAAUCCAAAUAUUAAAAGCCAGAUGAAAGGAAGGAAAGGUAAUUGUAACCGCUGGCUUCUACUUCACCAUGAUGAAAUUGAGCUUGCUCAGUAAUCAAAGAAUAAGCGUAGAGAUUUUUAUCAGAGUAUCUGAUUUUAUCAGACCAUUUGCAGGGACUGCAAUUCAAUAGAAACCGGGGAUGCCAGAUCUUUCGUAUAAAUCACUUUUGGGAGAGGACUGCUGCUGAGCUCCAGCUCAGACAUGCCCAGAAAAAAAUCAACCAACUGAAGUUGAAUAGGGAACACACUGGGGGUCUUCAAACUCUGUCAUUAUUGCAGCAUGUAAACUUCUAGGAGGCCAUUACAUUGAGAAAUGUGCUGCCAGCUCUGAAGGCUGAGUCCAGUCAUAGAAUCAUAGAAUGGUUUGGGUUGGAAGGGACCUUUAAUAUCAUCCAGUUCCAACCCUCUGCUAUGGGCAGGGACACCUCCCUCUAGACCAGGUUGCUCAAAGUCCCAUCCAGCCUGGCCUUGAAUGCUUCCAGGGAGGGGGCAUUCACAACCUUUCUGGGCAACCUGUUCCAGUGUCUCACCACACUCACAGUAAAUAACUGCUUCCUGAUAUCUAGUCUAAGUCUACUGAUUCAGUUCAGUCCUUGGUCGAAAAUGCAUCCUUCACCUCACCAAAGUCAGAUUCUUUUUCACAACCCAGUGCCUCCGUACAGUGGUGUUAUGAAUUCCAUCCACUAAGUAUGGAUCUGCGUUCUGUGUCCAAACCUAUUUCUUAUGCCGCAUUUACUUCCAGUGCCCAACCAUACAGAAAUUUACCCAUGCCUUUGCACAGCAGGAAGCAUAUGGUGCCUGAGUUACUCAAGUCCAUUUCUCAGGAAAGCAGUCCUUUAAAAACAACUGUCCAUCAAGGCCCCCUCUUCAAACAGCCUCACAUUCAUGCUGUUCUGCUUGUGGUAAGAAUCAGUGUUCCAGCUACAGCAAAAAUGCAGUUUGCACUGUAAGAGGAGGAAAUAAAUGUCGGGUCAUCUAAGAGUCCUUCAUUCACUCAGCCAAAAAUGAGACUACCCUGAAUUUUCCCUUUUUCAUUUUUGUGGUACUGAGUCAUGAGUUGAUUUCUUUGGGAAAAAAAAGAGAAGAAAAUCUAAAACUGUCUUGUAGUUAAUCGGUAUUAGAUAGAUGGCUAAGUGACAGCUCAUAUGACUCAGGCCCUUUAGGCUGCACUUAUCCCUUGCUCUCAUGCUAUAAAACACGCUUUUCCAG
ensembl:lncRNA